UGCGCCCGUAGCUCAGAAGGAUAGAGCAACGGUUUCCUAAACCGUAGGUCGGACGUUCGAAUCGUCUCGGGCGCAU
rnacentral:tRNA from 1 species